UAAAUGGUAAGACCAAGUAUCGUUUUCCCAAGAGACUCGAAAGGCUUUCUCGUUCACGUGAAUUAAAAUAAUAAGACUUGAAAAUAGAAAUUAAUAAAUUGGAUUUAAGAACAAAAAUAUUAACAUGCAAAAAUAAAGUUGAUUCAAUUGACAAAAGAAAACAAUGGAUGAAUGGAUAUUGUUGGGGGUUUACAAUUUCAUCUAAUCCUCUCUCUCUUAUCUACUCCUCUUGAAUAUUAGUUUGAUCAAUUAAUUGUUAUGCGACUUUCUAAGCCUACCCUUAACCUGAUCCCUCGGCGAAAAGAGCCUAAUAUUAACUACUGGCUUGCAAUCCCUAGCCUCCCCUAGUAAUUAAUACCGCAUUAUAAAUAGAAGUUAACGCAAUUGAUCGUCCUACCCCUAUCCCUAGGUGGUAUUGCAAAAUCAAGAAAUUACUUACCAGUUCAUGUCAUUACUGUACGUCCCC
rnacentral:lncRNA from 1 species